GCUGGGUGUGGUGGGGCAUGCCUGUAAUCCUAGCAGCUUGGGAGGCUGAGACAGGAGAAUCAGUUCAAAGCCAGCCUCGCCAACAGCGAGGUGCUAAUAAGCAACUCAGUGAGACACUGUCUCUA
rnacentral:sRNA from 1 species